AUUGAACGCUGGCGGCAUGCCUUACACAUGCAAGUCGAACGGCAGCACGGGAGCAAUCCUGGUGGCGAGUGGCGAACGGGUGAGUAAUAUAUCGGAACGUGCCCAGUCGUGGGGAUAACGUAGCGAAAGUUACGCUAAUACCGCAUACGAUCUAAGGAUGAAAGCGGGGGAUCGCAAGACCUCGCGCGAUUGGAGCGGCCGAUAUCAGAUUAGGUAGUUGGUGGGGUAAAGGCUCACCAAGCCAACGAUCUGUAGCUGGUCUGAGAGGACGACCAGCCACACUGGAACUGAGACACGGUCCAGACUCCUACGGGAGGCAGCAGUGGGGAAUUUUGGACAAUGGACGCAAGUCUGAUCCAGCCAUUCCGCGUGCAGGAUGAAGGCCCUCGGGUUGUAACUGC
rnacentral:rRNA from 1 species